rnacentral:lncRNA from 1 species
AUGUGGAUAAGUUUUUGUAUUUCAAUAGUUAGGUUCUCGGAAUUGCAACUCAUGUGGUUUUCUCAGUAGUUUGAGAGGUGUUAGGCAGGGAGUUCUGCUAUUUGCUAUCACCUAAGUUGUUCAUACUAGUUAUGGAAGCAAUGAGUAGGAUAUGGAUAGAGCUGUGAUGAGAGGUUACCUUGAGGGGGGUUCAUCUUUACAUCGGAUGGGGGCAGGUAC